UUCACUGAUGUCACCACUGCUGCUUUGUGUCUGUCAAACCCUGCCAUCAGUCAACACUUAAUUCCUUUGCUUGUUUAUGAAGCUGAACACUUUAAAAACUCAGAGUGCCUGUAACUGCUGCCCUGGCAGAGGGACUGGGAGGUGUCUCAGGGCUGCUCAGUGCCUGCCACAGAAGAAACACUGGGGAUUUCUGAGUCUCCAGGCUCCUAAUUUAUGAAGGAGGUUAAUGCACCUGGUUUGGUGCUGUUUCAGAGCCAGUGCCUCAGUGCUGGACACACAAAACCCUGGCCAUCAGUGGCAGGAAUGAUGCACCAUCAGGGAAUUCCCAGCACUUCCUGCAUCCUCCUGUGGGCAGCAUUGGCAAGGAAAUGGCUGCUGAUCAGCCCAGCAGGCACAGAGUGCAAGGGUCUGUUGGAAAAUAAUUUAAAUAAAUUGGCACAUACGAACCUUGAAGGAAACCUAAACAACUUUGGCAGGUAAUGGGAAAAAUGUUUCUUAAAACUGCCAAGUUGCCACUGCAGAGCCUUCGGCUGAUGAGCUGCUCUCUGGCUCAGUGGAAAUCGACUGCUCCCAAAUCCUUGAGAGCAAAUCACUGGAUGUAACGUGGAAAGGCUGCUCUUUGUUGGGAUAUGGGGAGAGUUUGUGGAGAACAAUAGUAUUUAUUUACAGAUUAUUUAUUUACAGCCAAGGUUGGCUGUGUGGUUCCAUAUUAGCCCUGCCAGGUGUUGGUGUUUGGAGGGAUAAGGGUGUGAGGGAACUGUGCUGGAAUGAGAGGUGACUCUGGGUUCUCUCCAGGGGGAUGCUGCCUUAUCCAAACAAUCAAGGUAGGAAGUCACAGGAAAUCCCUGCAGUGGGUAUCUGCUGGCUGGAAUCUCCAGGAAGGAGGAGCACAGUUUAUUUCCAUAGGAAAUGAGAAUUCCCUUUUUUCUUCUCUUCUCUUUCUAUCUUUCUUUCUUCUCUUUUCUCACAUGAGAAAGUCUUCUUUGAGAAGGGUUUGUUUAACUCAGCUCAAAGCUCUCCAGGUACUUGAUAUCCUGGCACUUCUGUGAUGUUCCAGCACUGCAUUAAACUGUUCCAUUUUUAGUCCUGCAAGCCCAAGUGUGCAAAGCAAAAUCCUUGCGUGGGGCUUUAUCCCCCAUUCCCCCAGUGUUGGGGGGAACCCCAAAAGGCCCAGCUGAGCUCUGCAUCUGCCAGUUGUGUACAGAGAAAACAGCAAUUAGAGGAGGGGAAGAAGAAGGAUGACAAAGCUUUGACAUGUUAUCGUUCUCCCCGCUGGGAAAUGAUUAUCCAGAGGGAGCUGGAGCUGUGGGAAGCCACCCAGCCAUCCUUCAAAACGGGAAUCCUUGUCACUCACUGCAGACCCCAUUCCUUUCCUGGGCUGGGGUGUUUCAUUUAUUUCAAUUAAUGGGCAUGCUUGAGCUCAGAAAAUAUUCACUUCUUGCUUUAUUUUUUCCCUUUUAGUGUAUUUUAGUGCCUGUGACUUGUGCCAGCAUUGGUAUUUCUCACCAUGAUGUGUCUUCUGUGACAGGGAAGGUCACCCAAGUGGAGAUGCAUCGUCCAUUUUUCGAGGCACUGUGGGGUUCUCAGCCCUGCCUCUGUCCCACUGCUGCUUGUCUUGUUCCCAUGUGCAACUCCCAAUUAACACCCAUUAAUUAAUAAUGCCGGGGGGUGGGGCUCUUCCAUUAGCUGUUCCUGGUUUCAGCAGGGAUAAAUCACACUGAACACUGAGGGGAUUGUGCUGGUCCAUGAUGGAGGACAUAAAAAAUACACUAGCAGAUUUUAAAUAGUCAUAACAUUCAUAGAAGAUUUUGUAUAGUGAAUAAAACUGCUACUUCACUUCUUUGUGAAGCACUAACAGGGCUCUGUGUGCCUUGGGCUCAGUGCAGGGACGGUGAUCAGCUCAUGGAGAAAUAGCUGAUUGGUCUUGUUUUACAGUUUAAUUGUUUGCAGGGUUUGGCAGUGGAGUUUGGCCUUUGGAAACUGUCAAUUUGAAAUGUAUUGGUCUGUACAAAAUUGCAGAUGAAAGGUUGAAUGCAGUUAUCCCCCAUGGGGGCAAACACUUGGUCACUGAAGUCAGGAAUCCACAAACUCCAUGUAUGAUCACAAACAGGAGCAUUUCUGGUUUACAGAUCAGCUCCUAAAGUGAAAAUAUAUGAUUUUAUUCCUAUACUACUCCCACUUUCAUGCAGGAUCAGGUUUCCCAUUGCUGAGGAAUAUUUCUUUUCAGUUUAGGUAAUUUUUUUUAUAGGGAAAAAAAAAUACUUCUUUAUGCUGGGAGCUGCUUUACAAAUGGAAAAUUACCUUUCUCACCAUCAGCUUUUCCAAGUCUUUUGCAAAGAUAAAUCAGGGACUCUAUUUCAUUUUAACUAAUCACAUGUUAUUCCAGUUUUGUAGAUUAAAUACAGACUGGCAGUGGGACUUCAGAAUUCACAGUUUCAGGGUUCCUGAAAUCAUCUUGAAAGAAAGAAAUUGAAAUGAUUUCUUGUUUCCCACCUUGUGUUGCUUUGAUUGCAAACUCUUGGCAGGGCAAGAGGAGAUAAAUUGAUUUUCAGGGAAUUCCAUUUAAGAAUUGUUGGAGUUUGGGUGUUUAGGAACCUCUUCCUACCUCAGCCUUUCCAGCUGUCCAGGAAUUAUCAUCAGGAGGAAGGUACAGCAUUGCAGAUGUCCAAACUGUGAGUUGAUCACGUGUAUCAUCUGCACCCACCUCAUCAGCCAAAAAUUAGGAAAAGCAAGGUAAGCAGUUGAGGAAACGUUCCCAAAAUUGCCAUGUGCUGUCUGCCCUGCUGGACUUCAGUGUUAUUUAAAUGUCACCCAAAAAAUAUGAUAUUUGAGUAUGAUAAAUGAGAUGCCCAUUGCAGUGAGCUCACACACCUGAAAGCAAAUACUGCUACCCAUGCAGUUCUUAAAUGGCAUUUCAGAGAAUUGUAUCACUCAGAAUUCACAAUUAUGCAGACAAAAUAGAUCAUUCAAAAAGGGAGUGAUUGGGACACAGUAUGGCUUUUUUUUUUUUUCAGAUUUGGUGCCUGUUAUGUUUUUAUUCCAUCCUCCUUUGUCCUGAUUUAGUGGAGAUAAUUUGAGCCUGGCUGCAGCUUCCUGAGGAAUCCCUUCUAGUUCUUUCUCUCUGAUGUGUUGCACACAUCCCUUCUCCCCACCUUCUCCUAACCCCGUUGAAACCCCUUGCUGAGAGAACCAGAGGUUCUACAAAGUUCCCUGUGCCUGAGAGAAUCAUUGGGAAGCAAGAGGCAAAGUGCUGAAAAGGCCCAGUGCAGGUGCAGCCGAUUGCAGUGGGAUGUGUGUGCUGGGGGGUCAGCAGGGCUUGCAUUUGGAAGGCUGCAGCACCAGGAUUAAAGCCUCUUCCUCAGCAAUUUUUCCUGGAGGAAAAUGAAGAUAUCCUGGCCCAGGGCUCCCUUCCCAUGGCGUUUUACUUGGAGGCAGGAGGAAGUUGCUGGAGGUAUUUGGACACUCUGCUUUAAUCAGUUGCUGUCUCUCCCAUUUUGCUCAUUACCAGAGUGAUGAGCCCUGUUAAAGCCCCUGUUAAAUCCUCAAAGAAAAUGUUCCUUGCACCAAAAGAGCCUCAGCAGAACAGACUGUUUAAGCUUUAUCCCCAGCAGUUUAAAUAAGGCAUUACCUCUCCCUUGUCUGAGGGGAUGAGCAGAGCUGGAAUUCAGCAGGUGGGAGAUGCAGGAUCAGCUUUGGAGCUGGCUCAGUAACAGCUCAGUGUGUGAUGGUGCUGGGUCCCCCUUUCAAACCCGCAGUGAUUUAUUUAUUUUUCAAAGAAAAAUGAUGCCCUGUUUUGUUGAAGUCACGUAUGGAAGCAAAAGGAAAGAUAAAAUAGCAAGAGGAGGCACCACUUCUUUCUGCUGAUGAGGCAGCUGAUGGAUGGCUCUCUGGGGACCUGCCUGAACUCGCUGUUCUGCCCACCAAAUGAAGAUAAAUCAUUGGUGAAGGGUUUGUGGAGUACAUGCCCCAAAUCAAUUAUGCUCAACAUGGAGAUCUAUUAAUCUAUUCCUUCCUGUUCCCUCUCCCCAGCCUCCUUCCAGUGGCUUGUUAUCAUUCCAAACACAGGGUAGUUAACUGGUGGUACGGUUAGCACUGAAAUCAGAGUUGUGAGGAGUCCUUUCACCCCUUCCCUGUGCUCUGCCCAAUCACCUUAACUCAGGUUUAUAAAUUGCUCCUCAAAAACUCCCAGAGUGUCUCCAGUGAAAUGGUCCCAUGGACACCGACCUUUCUGCAGGGCCUUGGUGGGUGUUGUCACCUUUCCUUGGAAACACAAAGAUCCCUGUAUGGAGGAAAAACAAAUCAGGCAUAUUUAAGGCUGUAGAGUUGAAAACACUGCAAUGAAAAAGUCAUAUCCAGGAAAUUGUCUCCAUGGAAUGAUUUUUCGGGGAAAUGCAGUGGAGUUCAGAGCCAGACUGUAUUAGAUGCUCUCAGUUCCCAGGGAAAAAUAGUCCAUUCGUGGUCAAUGCCUAACCAAGGAAGAUGAGGGAGGCAGAGCAAGCAUUGAAAGGAGGGUAAAUAACAGCUGGGAAUUAAAAAUUUUAAAUUCUGAGGUCACCUUAUGUUUCUAAACCAGAAACAUUUCCAUGGGCAGCAGCUGACUCCAUCCCCCUCCUCCCACCUGAUAUUUCCCCACGUGAACAGUGUUAAGGUUGUUAAUCCAGCAGGUAGGCAGAGCAUUCCAAAUGAAUCCCAAAUCCCAGCAGGGAUCAGUUUCAUCCUGGCAGAGAAUGGCUGGCAUUAGAAUGACCCAGUAGUUCUGGUGACGUAAAGAGCAGCCUGUUUUAGGGUGAUUUUUGUGGCUGUAAGUUCAAGGAGCCAUGUAAAGCCCGUGAUCCCAUGAGAACAUAUUCCCUGGGAGAAUCCCCUGAAGGAUGGGAGGCACUGGGGCAUCUUUGCAGCCUCUAAGGAUGGAGAAAAAUCACCUUGAUUUGAAAAGGUGAUGCUUUGCAGCUCCACAGGUUGGAGCUUUCACCCAGACAUGCCCAGACCCCUGUCUGAGACCUCUGGGGUUGUCCUAGAAAGUGUUUGAAAUGCUGUUUUUGUCUUUGAGUAGCUCAGAGUUCCUGUCAAUAAAAGCCAGAGAUACAAAAGCAAUACUUGGAGUCUUUAGGAGCAGGGUUGCAGUUUCAUGGCUCUGAAUUUCAUUGACUUUCUAAACAGCAUUGAGCUUUUGUUGGUAAUUCAUUCCAAGCAAGUAGCCACUGCAUAAAUCCUUAGUUCUGUGAUAGAGCCCAUGCAUACAAAAUUAAACUGGAUGGAAUCUGUAAGGUUGGGGUGCAAUUUCCAGCUUUUAUGCUCAGCCUUUCUUCUGAUGGAAUUAAUAGAUGUUUGGGAUUGUUGCAGCUGCAGUCAAAUUCUGUAACGUAUUGAUUAGUAGUGUAUUGACAAAAAUUGGUCUCUUUGUUAACAAGAAACAACACAGUGAUUAAUAGGUUACAGAAGUUGUACACAGUGUGCAGACAGAUGUUUGAAGAAGUGAAGCAUCCCAGACAAUCAAUUAUGAUGGAAACAGGAGUGACAUUUUCCAGCUCAGUGUUGAGCAGCAGCAGCAGAAAGUGACCCUGGUGUUUUAGGGAAGGACUAACUUAUUUUCAUUCUGUUCUUGUUUAUUGUUAUUAUUUUUUUUCAAUUUAUUUAUUAUUAUUAUAUGAAUUUGUUGAGUGGAUUUUCCAGCCACCAAGAAAAGGGCUUUUCUCAGGUUGUACCAUCAGGAAUUUCUGAUUCCAGGUAGAUCCAGUUUGGCAGAGCAAGCCCUGAAACUGCCUCCAGCUCUCUGAUGUGAUCCAAGUCACACCUAUGUUUGACAUCAGCAUGACAAGAGAAGGAAGUCUGGUUUAAAUACAGGAAAAUGACUUCAGAAUACAUUACAUGAGCUUUAUUUAGUGUAAGGAAUUUUUUUCUGCGUGAAUUCACAUGGGAAAGCGCUGUCAGUGAGGAUGUUACUGUUUUCCUGCCUUUUUCAAUCUGCCACAUAAAACCACAAAGGUUAUUGUUGUUAAGAUUUCCAGUUUGUUUUCUCCAUUUUCAGAUGUCAUUCAGAGAAAGAAGCUCUACAAAGGGUGCCCAGGACAGCUUUUAAUGGGAUGGGAGCCCUCCUGCCCAGGCAAUGAGGCUGUUUCUCUCCUCAGGAAGAACAAAUCUGCUCUUGGCACUGAAGAUGGAGAAAUAACAAAGGAAAAGAAGCCCAGAGGAUUUGUUCAAAUGAACAAGGCAAUUUCAGGUUGUAUAUAGUUAUAUAUCUGAAAACUCAAGAUUCACUGGGUAAAUGAAUGUGGUCUUUUCUUACUGUAAUUUAGAGUUUUGCUGGUUGGGUUUGGGUUCCCAGAAGUGACCUGGGAAUCAAUGGGUCAGGUUAGAGGGGCACAGACGUGACCCCGUGUGUUGGAGUGACCGGGGCAAGGAGCAAACAGUGAUCUGAAAUGUGUUGCUGCUUGUGCUUUUACCCCCUACAGCAGUAAUUUAGGGUGAUGGAUUUUAAUCAGUGCUUUGUGGAAAUAGUUAAAGUCCCAAAAUGGCUUCUGUCAAACUUGCCUGCUUUCAGAUACCCAGAACUUCCCCUGGCAGCACGGAUGGUCUGGGUUUGACCUAGACCCAAAGCACAUUUCUUGGCCUGGUGACUUAGUUUUAUGCAUUGUUUAAAAAAAUAAAAAGCCUUGGCUUCCUUUGAGUCAUGACCAUCAUAAAAACUGCACUUUGGGUUACACUUUAUGAGGUAAAAUUGCAAAUUUCCUGUCCUUGGCUUUCCACGAGAGACCGGUUAAGGUUGAACCUCCAGACCUGCCCCAGAGCCAGCCACGUCCUGUCCAUAGUUCCAUGUGUUUAAACUUCCCCUUCGUGAGGACCCACCAGGAUGAGGAUUUGCAGGUCUCAUAAAGCAAUUUUCUAUUUUAACAGCUUUGAAAAAUAACCCAGUUUUACAUAUUCAACAUUCUGAUGUUAAAAACAUACAAUGUUUUGAACAAAGGAAGGUGAUUGUUUCUCUUUUUUAAAUCCAGAUGAGGUGGGCUGUGAGUAACUUCGAUGGCAAAUUAGUUGUAGAUGGUUUCUGCUGUUUUUUGCAAUGGCUGAGGAGCCAAUUUCUCUUGUAGCUGAUUCUGGCAGGUUUGUUCCACUUAAUGGUAAAAGGUCAAUUGCAUGAGAAUAAAAAGGAAGAAAAAAUCUGAAAUGGCAUCUUUGAACUAGACAGACAGUGAAAUUAAAAUUCUAAAUGGUUGAUAGGAGGCUUGAAGUGUCCCCUGAACAGAAGACUAAAUUCGGUCACCUCCUUUAUGGAAGAAUCUUUUGUUGAAGGUUGACUUUUCUAUCUUUUUGCUGAAUUUCCAUCGGCUAUUUCAUUGUCUAAUUACUGCUGGUAAAAGUUAUUUAUUUCUUUUGUCUAACAGCCCUAUCUGCAAGUUCUGUGCCCUCCUUGACCACAGAAAAACCUCUUCCCUUCAUUUCAUUGCCUAUAUUAUAAGCACACUCAGUGUUGUUUCCUUUGCAUCUUGAUUUCAGCAAUAAAUAUUGCCUGGAACUUUAGAUCUAAUUAUUGAAGUCACUUGGGAAUCUCCUACAUGCAUAAAGAUGAUCAAAACCCUUAAUUUUUGUUUAUAGUCUCAGUUCUAAUUAAUGCACAUCUUUGUCUUAGAAAAAUUACCCCCUUUCUGAUAUUUUUUGCAUGCUUUAUAGUUUGGGAUCAUCUCUGUGUUCCAUCAAUAUCCAAUUGGAUUUUUUCCUCCAGUUCAUUAAUAAAGAUAUUAAAUUGUAGCAGCCAGCACAGCAACAACCACUGCUGGAUCUGUUGUUUCCCCUUCAAGUCUGUACCCUUUUGUUUCCUUCACAGUUAAACAUUUCCAGUGUUUGUCUCCACAUUGAUCAGGUAUGGUCUUGCCUGAUUCCUGACUUUAAAAUGUCCUGGCUAUGAAAUUUUAGUCCAAUUAAAAACAUCUUUCUCCUUCUCCCUCGUUCCCCUUUUCCCCAUCCCAGCAAAUGUUUUUCCUCAUUUGUAUUUUUUGCAAAAUAAUUUAAUUUCAUCCAAAUGUUCGAUCUCUGCCAAAGCCGAGAGGGACCUGAAGUGGAACACAGGGGUGAGAGGUGGGAGUAUCCAUGGAAACAACUUCCCUGCAGAUGUUUGGAUAUUCCUGGAACAUGGUUCUGGUUCACACCUGACCAGCACAGCCUGAACUCUGUUUGGUGCCAUAGUAGGGAAGAGAUUACAUUUUCCUCCAUGUUUCCUUAUCUCAAGUUGCAUCCUUAGCUCCCUUCUCUCCCAUUUUGCUCUGUUUAUUUUAAAGCAGCUCUGUUAAAUCCUUGCCUUAACCUUUUAUCAUUCCCUCUCCUUGACCCUGAGCUGAUCCACAGCAAGGACUGCAGCCAAACCCAGCCUGACUGAGCCAGCCAGCACUUCCAGUCAGGAACAUCAUCCCUGGGAUUACAUGGACAAGGAGAUGAAAAGCAACCAGAACUGAACAGCCCAACAGCCUUCUCCCAGUGCAGCCCUCAAGAAGGUGAUUCAGUUCUUUGCUUAUUGGACUUGGUCAGCUUUCCAGGGCUGAAGCAGAAUCUGAUGGAAUGACAGAGCUCUGUGGCAGCUGCAGAGCAGGGCUGGGUUUCUGAGAGGAGCUGUCCUGCACGGAGAAUCCCUGGGAUCUGCUGGCUGCCCUGGAGAGGGAGGGCAGUGUCCCUGCCUGGCCACCUCAGGGCUGUUUCCCAGAAGAUGGAGCUCUUUCCCCAGCACUGCUGAUGGACACCCUGUAGGUUCAGUAUCAUAUCAAAUAUGGGCAUUCUUACAGAUGGCAGAAUUAUUCUUCAGAGCUGAGAGAAAGGAGCAAAGAAUGCACAUGAUGACCAUAGUUAUUUUAUUAUAAAAGACAAGUCUGAGUUAUUUUUUUAUCAGUAACUUCUGCUUAACAGUAAUAAUGAUACAUGGAAUUAUUGAAGAGUCCAGAUGCCAACCUUGUUUUUCCCUUUGAAGCUCCACGUGACUCUUGGCAGGUUUGGGUCUUUAAAGCUUUGCCAUUUUCUUGCGUUUCUCCCUUGAUUGGAGGGGUGGUGGUUUGUUUCACUGACAGCAGUCGCUCCCUUCGUGCUGGAAGCAAAUCCGUAACUUCUCUGGGUGCAGGGGGGUCUUUAUUUCUGCUGUGCUUUGCUUUCCACCUCUGAAUGACAAAGCUGAGAGGGGCAGAAGUUGUCAUUACUGACCCCCAGAAGUGUCUCAGCCCUGCUGGUUUGGCUGCUGUGGACGUUGUGCCUCUCAUGUCAUCGCUGUGGCUCGGAUCUCGUUUUUACAGCUCACGUGUGUUAUCUGAGCUGCACAAGAGAUUAAAAAGAAGGGAAGUUUUAUAAGCACUGACAUGGUUGUCAUGACUACCUAAACCACUUUGCUGGUACCGUACAAGUCUUUCACUUUAUCUGUGGCUUUUAUAUUAAAAAACACCUUUUUUUUUUUUCUU